rnacentral:rRNA from 1 species
UUCUUUUAGUAAAGAUUAAAAGUAAGUUCUGCUCAAUGAUAGUUUAAAUAGCUGCAAUUUUGUACUAAGGUAGCAUAAUCAAUUGUCUAUUAAUUGUAGACUGGAAUGAAAGAAUUAAUAAUUAUAUAUUUUAUUUAAUUUAUAAUUUGAAGUUUGAUUUUAAAUAAAAAUAUUUAAAUUUAAUUUAGGGACAAGAAGACCCUAUAAAGCUUAAUAUAAGAUUAUAAAAUAAUUAUGAAAUUAUAUUAAAUUGGGGCAAUUUUUUAUGAAUAGGAAUUAUAAUAUAAAUAAAUAAAUUAGAAUUAGGAAAGAUGAUCCAUUAAUAAUGAAAAAAGAUAGAGUUACUUUAGGGAUAACAGUAUAAUUUUUAUUUUUUAGUUCGUAUAGAUGAUGAAGAUUAUAACCUCGAUGUUGGAUUAAUAUAAUAUAAUGGUGAAGAAGCUAUUAUUAUUUGACUGUUCGUCAAUUAAAAUAUUACA